UCACAUUUUCCUUACUUUUCUACACAUGUUAAGAUAUGUUAAAUGUGCAAUUCCACGUGGCAUCUAAUCCACAUAUCGUAGCUUGUGGUCAACCAUGUAUGAUAAACACGAGCUAGGGACUAAAUUCCUUAUAAAAGCAACCAUUUUCACCAUGUAUGAACCACUUUUGAGCAUAUAUACUGAAAUGUUGUUGAGAAUACUCCAACCUUCUUUCUCUACUUAAUAGUCACAACCAAAAAGACCUUGAACCUCCUCUAGACUCCUUCACCUAGUCCAAAUCUUGAUACACCACCUCAAUCAU
rnacentral:lncRNA from 1 species